GGGGGGGGGGGGGGGGGCGAAGACGAGAGAAAAAGAGCGAGCAAAACUGGAGGGCGAGAGGCUAUUUAUUUCUCGCUCCUCGCAUUUUUCCUUGCUCUCUUUCUCUCGUCUCUCCUCCCCCCCCCUAGCUUCUCCC